rnacentral:rRNA from 1 species
UGGGGAAUAUUGCACAAUGGGCGGAAGCCUGCUGCAGCGACGCCGCGUGGGGGAUGAAGGCCUUCGGGUUGUAAACUCCUUUCGACAGGGACGAAGCCUUUGUGACGGUACCUGAAUAAGAUGCACCGGCUAACUACGUGCCAGCAGCCGCGGUAAUACGUAGGGUGCGAGCGUUGUCCGGAAUUACUGGGCGUAAAGAGCUCGUAGGUGGCUUGUCGCGUCGUCUGUGAAAUUCCGGGGGUUAACUCCGGGCGUGCAGGCGAUACGGGGUGAAUUAGGUGCUGUAGGGGGGACUGCAAUUCCUAGGUUAGCGGUGAAAUGCGCAGGAGUCAGGGGCAACACCGAUGGCGAAAGCAGGUCUCUGGGCAGUAACUUACGCUGAGGAGCGGAAGCAUAGGUAGCGAACAGG